rnacentral:rRNA from 1 species
GGCUUAUUGAUAAUAAUUUUAGGUCUGACCUGCCCACUGAUAUAUUAAAUGGCCGCGGUAUAUUGACCGUGCAAAGGUAGCAUAAUCAUUAGUUUUUUAAUUGAAAGCUGGAAUGAAAGGUUUGAUGAGAAAAAUUCUGUCUCUAUAAAAAUUGGUUAGAAUUUUAUUUUUAAGUGAAAAAGCUUAAAUGUAUAUAGAAGACGAGAAGACCCUAUAGAGUUUUAUAAGUAUGUUAAAAUAUAUGUUUGUAGGAUAAAAAGUUAAAAUUUUAAUAUAUUUAUUUGGUUGGGGUGAUGAAAAAAUUAAUUUAACUUUUUUUUUAUUUUUACACUAAUUUGUGAAUUAUUGAUCCUUAGUUUUAGAUUAAAAGAAGAAAUUACCUUAGGGAUAACAGCGUAAUUUUUUUUAGAGUUCUUAUCAAAAAAAGGGAUUGCGACCUCGAUGUUGGAUUAAAAUUAACUGUUGGUGUAGAAGCUAGUAUGUUAGGUCUGUUCGACCUUUAAAAUUUUACAUGAUCUGAGUUUAAACCGGUGUGAG